GAUGAACGCUGGCGGCGUGCCUAAUACAUGCAAGUCGAGCGAACGGACGAGAAGCUUGCUUCUCUGAUGUUAGCGGCGGACGGGUGAGUAACACGUGGAUAACCUACCUAUAAGACUGGGACAACUUCGGGAAACCGGAGCUAAUACCGGAUAAUAUUUUGAACCGCAUGGUUCAAAAGUGAAAGACGGUCUUGCUGUCACUUAUAGAUGGAUCCGCGCUGCAUUAGCUAGUUGGUAAGGUAACGGCUUACCAAGGCAACGAUGCAUAGCCGACCUGAGAGGGUGAUCGGCCACACUGGAACUGAGACACGGUCCAGACUCCUACGGGAGGCAGCAGUAGGGAAUCUUCCGCAAUGGGCGAAAGCCUGACGGAGCAACGCCGCGUGAGUGAUGAAGGUCUUCGGAUCGUAAAACUCUGUUAUUAGGGAAGAACAUAUGUGUAAGUAACUGUGCACAUCUUGACGGUACCUAAUCAGAAAGCCACGGCUAACUACGUG
rnacentral:rRNA from 1 species